CACGCCGUAAACGAUGAGUACUAGGUGUCGGGGGUAUCGACCCCCCCUGUGCCGCAGUAAACACAAUAAGUACUCCGCCUGGGAAGUACGAUCGCAAGAUUAAAACUCAAAGGAAUUGACGGGGACCCGCACAAGCAGCGGAGCAUGUGGUUUAAUUCGAAGCAACGCGAAGAACCUUACCUGGACUUGACAUCCCCGGAAUGACGCGUAAUGGAGGAAGCCCUACGGGGCAGGGAGACAGGUGG
rnacentral:rRNA from 1 species